GGCGUAUUCUUGAUGCAUUCCGAAGUUCAUUGGGUCCAAAAAUGGUGGAGGCUUUGAUUUGUUCUCAAAAUUGGUUGCAAUCAAAGCCUAUGACGUAUGAUUAUAGAGUUGAAAUACCAAUAGAAGAUGUCGCAUAUUAUGAUUCUAUUGAAUCGGGAGCAUCUUGGGUUACAAAACAAAGUUUACCUCCACCUAAUUGAUAUAUGAUUACUUGGAUGAAUGGAAUUUGGUUUAUUGAGGUAGUGAGCUUGUGGUUGCUGCUGGUGGCUUUUCAUGCAAUGGAGAAUGUGGAAGAAAACAAUAUUUAAAAUAAUUUUUAUUUUUAUGGAUUAUUAGUUUAUUUAAUUAUAAGUUUAUUUUAAAAUUUUAGAUUUCAAAGAUGGAUUGUAUUUUAUUUUGUAG